rnacentral:rRNA from 1 species
GACGAACGCUGGCGGCGUGCUUAACACAUGCAAGUCGAACGGAAAGGCCCUGCUUUUGUGGGGUGCUCGAGUGGCGAACGGGUGAGUAACACGUGUGUAACCUGCCCUUUACUUUGGGAUAACUUCAGGAAACUGGGGCUAAUACCGGAUAGGAUCUCCUGCUGCAUGGUGGUGGUUGGAAAGUUUCGGCGGUUGGGGAUGGACUCGCGGCUUAUCAGCUUGUUGGUGGGGUAGUGGCUUACCAAGGCUUUGACGGGUAGCCGGCCUGAGAGGGUGACCGGCGACAAUGGGACUGAGAUACGGACCAGAAUCCUACGGGAGGCAGCAGUGGGGAAUAUUGCACAAUGGGCGGAAGCCUGAUGCAGCAACGCCGCGUGCGGGAUGACGGCCUUCGGGUUGUAAACCGCUUUCGAAUGUGACGAAGCGUGAGUGACGGUAAUGGGUAAAGAAGCACCGGCUAACUACGUG